GCCAGGGUGGCAGAAGCAGGCAUUGCGCUUGCCUCAAAAGCAAGUGGGUUCGCACCCAUCUGGGUUCAAAUCCCAGCCCUGGCG
rnacentral:tRNA from 1 species